rnacentral:rRNA from 1 species
CCUACGGGUGGCUGCAGUCGAGAAUCUUCGGCAAUGGGCGCAAGCCUGACCGAGCGACGCCGCGUGCGGGAUGAAGGUCUUCGGAUUGUAAACCGCUGUCGGAGGGGAUGAAAUGCAUGGGGGUACUCCCCUGUGUUUGAUAGAGCCUCGGAGGAAGCACGGGCUAAGUUCGUGCCAGCAGCCGCGGUAAUACGAACUGUGCGAACGUUAUUCGGAAUCACUGGGCUUAAAGGGUGCGCAGGCGGGGUGUGAAAUCCCCCGGCUCAACCGGGGAACUGCGCUUGAAACUGGGGUGCUCGAGUGAGGUAGGGGUGUAUGGAACUUCCGGUGGAGCGGUGAAAUGUGUAGAUAUCGGAAGGAACGCCGGCGGCGAAAGCGGUACACUGGGCCUUGUCUGACGCUGAGGCACGAAAGCUAGGGGAGUGAACGGGAUUAGAUACCCCAGUAGUC